rnacentral:rRNA from 1 species
CCUACGGGUGGCAGCAGUGAGGAAUAUUGGUCAAUGGGCGCAAGCCUGAACCAGCCAAGUCGCGUGAGGGAUGAAGGUUCUAUGGAUCGUAAACCUCUUUUAUAAGGGAAUAAAGUGUGGCACGUGUCCUAUUUUGUAUGUACCUUAUGAAUAAGGAUCGGCUAAUUCCGUGCCAGCAUCCGCGGUAUUACGUCGGAUCCGAGCGUUAUCCGGUUUUCUUGGGUUUAAGGGUGCGUCGGCGGUCUUUUAAGUCAGCUGUGAAAGUCUGGGGCUCAACCCUAGAAUUGCCGUUGAAACUGGGGGGCUUGAGUACGGUGGAGGCAGGCGGAAUGCGUGGUGUAGCGGUGAAAUGCGUAGAUAUCACGCAGAACCCCGAUUGCGAAGGCAGCCUGCCAAGCCAUGACUGACGCUGAUGCACGAAAGCGUGGGGAUCAAACAGGAUUAGAUACCCUGGUAGUC